rnacentral:snRNA from 1 species
UUGUUUUCAUUUUUGAGUGAUCU